CCCCUCUCAGGGUCACACCUGGAGAGUUUCCAGUACUUUACCAGUUUUGACUACAGGAAGGACAGUGUAGCGGAGACGUCCAUUCCAUUUCUAGCUUGGGCAGUGGCUAGCGAGUGGAAGGCAAUCUGCUACAAAU
rfam:Ornithorhynchus anatinus chromosome 1, whole genome shotgun sequence.